UGCCAGCAGCCGCGGUAAUACGGAGGGUGCAAGCGUUAAUCGGAAUUACUGGGCGUAAAGGGUGCGCAGGUGGUUAGAUAAGUUAGGUGUGAAACCCCAGGGCUUAACCUUGGAUUUGCGCUUAAAACUGUUUAACUAGAGUACUGUAGAGGGAAGUGGAAUUUUCGGUGUAGCGGUGAAAUGCGUAGAUAUCGGAAGGAACACCAGUGGCGAAGGCGACUUCCUGGACAGAUACUGACACUGAGGCACGAGAGCGUGGGUAGCAAACAGGAUUAGAUA
rnacentral:rRNA from 1 species